UCGCAGUGGCAGAUGUAGCCUCAAACACAGAGACAGAGAAGAGGAAAAUAUAAAUGCCACACUGCAGUGAGAUCACAAGCAUGAUUCAUUCGCAUCUCAUCUGCGUCUCAAAGCAGAACAUCAACGAGAAGUAACAGACCCAGACAAAACAACACCUGAAACAGUAAACAGCGGCGUCGACUGCUGUCUGUAAAUCCUCAGACUCACUGGAGAUCAGCUUCUUGAAGAUUGCUCAGACUGCCUGGAUGCGACGCUAAACAUUUUAAGUGGAAGUAAUUAUCUUGUUUCUGUCGGUUCGUUUUGGCCCAAGGGCCGCCCAGACAGACUUACUCCCUAAUAAGAUCACGGCCAGUUACACUCGCUGUGAAGAGGAAUGAACAGCCCUUUCUGCGUGAAUAUCCUGCAGGACAUUUCAUGAGCUCUCGGCGCUUUGUACAUCAAGAAUAAAACUAAUCAAGUGCAGAGUGCUGGACACGUCACAUCACGUUACUUCUCUUCAUGAUUCAUUAUGGAAGAAUUCAGGAUAGUCAGUGAUGUGCUGCCAAGAACGUCGACAUGACAUCAUUUUCCUGCGGCUCGACCAGCUAAAGCUGGCAGCGUGUGGCUCAUGUACAUCCGGGUCGUGCGACAGAUGCUUUCUCCAGACUUCUUGCACCUUUUGAGCCAGUUUGAGAUCUCUUCUGAAACUCUAGUGGAGACACAUUUGAGAUUACGGGUAUAUAUUCUCAGGAGAAACAUCUGAGAUGGAUUCUCUUCAGGAUUGCUCUUUGAGGAGAAACCGCUGAGAUCUCAUGAUGUCAUCAGUGAUGUCAGGACCUCUUUUUCCAGCAGCUCAUGAUUCAAAAAGACCUGUAUAUGCAGAAAUGAGUGUCUGAAGAUCAGCAGAAUUCAAAGCAGCUCAUGUGCAGACUGGAGAUGAGUGUGAAUGCAAAUGGGAUGGACUGGGACUGAAAAUGCUGGCUGAAUACAGGCGAUUGCCUGCUGCGUUACUGUUCAUUUGCUGUGGGAUCCAAAAGUCUGAGACCACAUUGAAAAUGGCUUUUUUUCCCACCAUUUUAAUUUUAAACAAAAAAUUACCAUUCACAAGUUAGGAGUCAGUUAGUUUUUUAUUUUUUAAAGAAAUGAAUACACAUUUAAUUGAUCAAAAGUGACGGUAAAGACAAUUUAAUGUUACAAAAGAUUUCUAUAUCAAAUAAAUGCUGUUCUUUUGAACUUUCUGUUCAUCCAAAAAUCCUGAAAAACAAAAUGUAUCAUGGUUUCCACAGAAAUAUGAAGCAGAACUGUUUUCAAUAUUGAUAAUAAUCAUAAAUGUUUCUUGAGCAGCAAAUCAUCAUGUUAGAAUGAUUUCUGAAGGAUCAUGUGACACUGAAGACUGGAGUAAUGAUGCUGAAAAUUCAGCUUUCAUCACAGGAAUAAAUUACAUUUUACAAUAUAUUCGCAUAGAAAACAGUUAUUUUAACUGCUUAACAAUUUACUGCUUUUAUUGUAUUUUAAAUUAAAUAAAUGCAGCCUUGGUGAGCAGAAAUUUAUAUUCAAAAAUGUUUAAAAAAACUCAGUUUUUGAAUGGUAGCAUUAAUUUUAAUGACAAUUAUUACUGAUUCAUUUCUAUAUUUAAAAGUAAACGAGUGACACCGA